AUACGUAGGGGGCGAGCGUUGUCCGGAAUUACUGGGCGUAAAGGGUGCGUAGGUGGCACUUUAAGUUGGAUGUGAAAUCCCCGUGCUUAACAUGGGAGCUGCAUCCAAUACUGGAGAGCUAGAGUGCAGGAGAGGUAAGCGGAAUUCCUAGUGUAGCGGUGAAAUGCGUAGAUAUUAGGAGGAACACCAGUGGCGAAGGCGGCUUACUGGACUGUAACUGACACUGAGGCACGAAAGCGUGGGGAGCAAACAGGAUUAGAUACCCUGGUAGUCCACGCUGUAAACGAUGAAUACUAGGUGUAGGGGGUAUCGACUCCCUCUGUGCCGCAGUUAACACAAUAAGUAUUCCGCCUGGGGAGUACGGCCGCAAGGUUGAAACUUAAAGGAAUUGGCGGGG
rnacentral:rRNA from 1 species